GGCAGUUCUCAGGUGAUGCACCCCAGAAUGAGGCUCCCUCCACUCUAGUUCUGGGGUGUGUCACCCAAAAACCACA
rfam:Myotis lucifugus cont2.17805, whole genome shotgun sequence.